rnacentral:rRNA from 1 species
UACGUAGGGUGCAAGCGUUGUCCGGAAUUAUUGGGCGUAAAGAGCUCGUAGGCGGUCUGUCACGUCGGCUGUGAAAUCCCGAGGCUCAACCUCGGGUCUGCAGUCGAUACGGGCAAACUAGAGUAUUGCAGGGGAGACUGGAAUUCCUGGUGUAGCGGUGGAAUGCGCAGAUAUCGGGAGGAACACCAGUGGCGAAGGCGGCACUCUGGGCCGGUACUGACGCUGAGGAGCGAAAGCGUGGGGAGCGAACAGG